rnacentral:misc_RNA from 1 species
CAGAAAUCGCCGAAGGGCUGUCCACUCCCUAAGUAGCUUGCCAAUAGGAUGAUCUCGUUACAGUAAAAUUUCCAAUGUUAUGAUCAAUCAAUGAUCAGUAUCCAGUCAUUUAGGAAUUACUUGAUAUAACUAAUACCUCCUAGGCAAACAAAGUACCCUAUAUUGAAAUUCAAUAUCUUUCACACAAAACUACUGUUGCUCUUGAUCACGUUGGUAGUCCAUUUAACUCAAAUGUUCAGUUACUAG